UCGAGAAUUUUUCACAAUGGGCGCAAGCCUGAUGGAGCGACGCCGCGUGGGGGAUGAAUGGCUUCGGCCCGUAAACCCCUGUCAUUUGCGAUCAAACCUUGCUAUUUAAAAGAUGGCGAGCUGAUAGUAGCGAAAGAGGAAGGGACGGCUAACUCUGUGCCAGCAGCCGCGGUAAUACAGAGGUCCCAAGCGUUGUUCGGAUUCACUGGGCGUAAAGGGUGCGUAGGUGGUGGGGUAAGUCGGAUGUGAAAUCUCGGAGCUCAACUCCGAAAUGGCAUUGGAAACUACCCUGCUAGAGGGUCGGAGGGNGGACUGGAAUUCUCGGUGUAGCAGUGAAAUGCGUAGAUAUCGAGAGGAACACCAGUGGCGAAGGCGAGUCCCUGGACGACUCCUGACACUGAGGCACGAAAGCUAGGGGAGCAAACA
rnacentral:rRNA from 1 species